UGACGUCAUCAACACGCGCCAUUGGUUCCUUACUAAUCAAACCGCGGCAAAGAAAUAAACGUCCAACAUGAUUGUUUUUUUUUUUGAAGAGAGAAGUUCAAUUCAGUUCAGUUCAGUUCAGUUCAAUUCAAUUCAGUUCGCUUUAAAUUGUAUAGCGCUUUUUUAUACAAGUGAGAUUGUCACAAAACAGAUUUACAGAAAUAUAUAAACUUCCAAUCUAAAUUUUAAAUUCAAUUUUAAAUUCAUCCCUAAUGAGCAGGCCAGAGGUGACGGUGGCAAGAAAAAAACCUCCCUGAGAUAUGAGGAAGAAACCUAGAGAGGAACCAGACUCAAAUGGGACCCAUCCUCAUCUGUGUAACAACAUCUUGAUGGAGAAAUUUGGGUGUCACAGCAGCAGCAAGACAGCAAGCCCUGAUGAGCAACAUACACCUACAGCAAAUAGUGAGGACAUCUGAAAAGAUUUUCACCAUCAACACCUCCUUCAACAACCACUGCAUCCGCAAAGCCACCAGUAUUGCGGACAACAACUCUCACCCGUUUCAUGGACUAUUCACCCACCUGCCAUCUGGCAGAAGGUACAGGAGCAUCUGUGCCACCACCAGCAGACUCCUCAACAGUUUCUUCACUGAGGCAGUCAGAUUACUCAAACCCCGGCUGACUCCCAACACUCAACUGGGAUAGUCGAACACCAAACCCAGUUAGUCUCAGUACCACUGCACAUGCAUUAACCCAGUAAGACUCAGUCCUGCACACUGCCCUUUACACAGCUGCAUCAGUCACUUUAUACUAAGGAACUCAUUUUUGCUGUUAUUGCUGCUAUACUUCUGCUGCUACAUUACACAAUAGCUUACAGUUUACAGUCCAUAUUUACAGUUUACAGUGAGUUUACAGUCCAUGUUUACAGUUUACAGUCCUUGUUCUGUGUAUCUAUUGUCUUAUGUAUUUACUGUCCUGUGUAUUUAUUGUUUUGUUCUGUGUAUUUAUUGUUUUGCCUCGUCUCACACUGUUGUGUAUUUGCACUUUAUGUAGUCUUUCAUACUGUUUCGUGUUGCACCUUGGACCUGAAGAAACGUCAUUUUGUUCCAAUGUAUACAAGCUAUAUAGAGGAAUGACAGUAAAACCCAUUUGACUUGACAUAAAAGCAGUGCAGUGAAGGUUUUGCUUUUCAGUACGGAAUGUUGCAGUACAUUCAUUGUGUUCACAAAUGGGAAGCUAAAAGUUGUGUUGAAUUUCAUGCUUUUACCAGUGUGAUUGCUUUUUGCUCUUGGUCAGAAUCCUCUCCAUAGCCCACCAUAUAAAUGGCUAAUUGUGAGUGAAUAUUACAGUCCACUCUGAAAGUAUGGGAAUGGCAAGGCCAAUUCUUUUGUUUUUGCUAUACACUGAAGACAUUUUGGUUUGAUAUCAGAAGAUGAAUAUGAGAUGAUAGAUCAGAAUUUCACUUUUACAGCUAGAUGUGUUAAACAACUUAGAACAUUGUUUGAACCCACCCAUUUUUCAAGUGAUAAAAAUAUUGGAACAUGUGACUGACAGGUGUUUCUUGUUGCCCAGGUGUGUCCUGUUACAUUGAUUGUUUGUUUAAACAGUUAAUAUUUCUGAAUGUCUACUCUUGGUUUGAGCCUUGAGUUUCACUUGUGAAGACUGCAUUUGUUGUUAAAACUGAUAAACCAACAUGAAGACCAGAGAGCUGUCUGUGGGAGAAAAGCAAGCCAUUUUUGAAGCUGAAAAAAGGACAAUCAAGCAGCGGCAUUACACUGGGCAAUGCAAAAAAUUUGGUAUGUCCUGAAAAAGAAAGAAACCACUGGUGUACUAACAACCAGACAUCGAACAGGUCGGCCAAGGAAAACAACAGCAGUUGAUGACAGUAACUUUGUGAAGAAAAACCCAAAAACAACUAUCAGUAAACAAAAGUUCUGGAACGAAGAUGAACCUCUACCAAAGUGAUGGGAAGGCCAAAGUGUGGAGAAAAAAAGGAUCUGCAUACGAUACAAAACAUGCGAGCUCAUCAGUCAAGUAUGGUGGAGGUAGUGCCAUUGCUUGGGCUUUCAUGGCUUCUUCUGGAACAGGCUCACUAAUCUUUAUUGCUGUAACUGAUGGUGGUAGCAGCAGAAUGAAUUCAGAAGUCUAUAGAAAUAUUUUAUCUGCCAAUUUACAAAGAAAUACAUCCAGUCCAAUUGGGAGGAAAUUUAUCAUGCAACAAGACAAUGACUCAAAACACAAUGACCCAUCUAAAUAUGUUAAACAACUUGGAACAAUGCACUUUUGGUGGAAGACCACCAAAUAUUUAUGUGAACAAAAGUAUAGGACCAGAUUGUACAUUAAAGUAAAUAACACUUAAUAUUUGGUUGCAAAAACUGCAUCAUAACUGCAACUGCCGGAAACCCCCUGAUAUCACCAAACUGUUCAGUCUUUUGUGAUGUUUUUUCAGGCUUGUACCACAGCUUUGUUUCAGUUUUUUAUUUAAAAUUUUUUUUUUUAUUAAACUUUUGCUCACCUAAAGAUUUGGUGGUCG